GGGAGCUCUCCCAUAUGGUCGACCUGCAGGCGGCCGCGAAUUCACUAGUGAUUCGUAUUACCGCGGCUGCUGGCACGGAGUUAGCCGGAGCUUAUUCUCCCGGUACUGUCAUUAUCAUCCCGGGUAAAAGAGCUUUACAACCCUAAGGCCUUCAUCACUCACGCGGCAUUGCUGGAUCAGGCUUUCGCCCAUUGUCCAAUAUUCCCCACUGCUGCCUCCCGUAGGAGUCUGGGCCGUGUCUCAGUCCCAGUGUGGCUGAUCAUCCUCUCAGACCAGCUAAGGAUCGUCGCCUUGGUGCGCCUUUACCACACCAACUAGCUAAUCCUACGCGGGCUCAUCCCUCGGCGAUAAAUCUUUGGACUUACGUCGUCAUCCGGUAUUAGCAGUCAUUUCUAACUGUUAUUCCGAACCAAGGGGCAGAUUCCCACGCGUUACGCACCCGUGCGCCACUAAGGCCGAAGCCUUCGUUCGACUUGCAUGUGUUAGGCAUGCCGCCAGCGUUCGUUCUGAGCCAUGAUCAAACUCUAAUCGAAUUCCCGCGGCCGCCAUGGCGGCCGGGAGCAUGCGACGUCGGGCCCAAU
rnacentral:rRNA from 1 species